rnacentral:rRNA from 1 species
GCGCAAGAUUAGAUAGUUGGUAGGGUAACGGCCUACCAAGUCUACGAUCUUUAGGGGGUCUGAGAGGGUGAUCCCCCACACUGGUACUGAGACACGGACCAGACUCCUACGGGAGGCAGCAGUGAGGAAUAUUGGACAAUGGGUGGAAGCCUGAUCCAGCCAUCCCGCGUGAAGGACGACGGCCCUAUGGGUUGUAAACUUCUUUUGUAUAGGGAUAAACCUAGAUACGUGUAUCUAGCUGAAGGUACUAUACGAAUAAGCACCGGCUAACUCCGUGCCAGCAGCCGCGGUAAUACGGAGGGUGCAAGCGUUAUCCGGAUUUAUUGGGUUUAAAGGGUCCGUAGGCGGAUCUGUAAGUCAGUGGUGAAAUCUCACAGCUUAACUGUGAAACUGCCAUUGAUACUGCAGGUCUUGAGUGYGUGUUGAAGUAGCUGGAAUAAGUAGUGUAGCGGUGAAAUGCAUAGAUAUUACUUAGAACACCAAUUGCGAAGGCAGGYUACUAAGCAACAACUGACGCUGAUGGACGAAAGCGUGGGGAGCGACCAGGAUUAGAUACCCUGGUAGUCCCCGCCGUAAACGAUGCUAAUCGAUUUGGAUUUCGGAUUCAGAGAC